CAACCAGUAUCACUUGCCAUGAAUGGAAGUUUGCCGUGACCUGAAGGAUGCACAGACUCAAAAAGGAAAGCCUGGCCUCUCUAGUGGAUCGAGUUCCAGCCCCACCCCCUCCCCACCGCCACCGAUCCACAGUGGACACGUAGCACGGGCUUUCCCCAGACUGGAGUUCCCGAGGCCAUCCUUGGACAAAGUCUCCAUGAUCUCCUGGGAGAGUCCUUCCUCCAAGAAGUCUUGUGCCAGAGGGCGGUUCUUGACUUCGGCCAUGUCCGAAAGAGGGUAAGUGCAGGUGUCUCCCGCUCCCCGCGGCGAAACAUAAGGAGCUGCAGGGUGAGAACACAGACAAGAGGGAGAACGGGUGACGGCUCCCCAGGAAGCCUGUCCCUCGAGGGGAUGAUGAAGGCGAAGGGGCCAAAGUGGCGACCCAGCUGGAACUGGCAGCACAGGAAACAGAGAGCCCAUUUCCAAGAUGGUUAAGUGGGGAGCUGGGCAGCCGCGGGGGCUCCACAGGGAAGGGGAGCCUCUUAGCAGAUGCCGUUGCCCCCAUCGGCCAUGGCCCACUUCUUGGAGAAGGGCGCUGCUCAACGGGGAAGAAGGUAGAAAUGAUAUAACUGCUGGAGGACAGAUUUGGUUGGUAAAGGCGUGGCUACGCGGUUCUGGGAAGAGCAUGUAUUUCUUUUUUUAGUAUUUAUUUAUUUAUUUAUUUUGAGAGAGAGAAAGCGUGAGUGAGCAGGGGAGCGACAGAGAGAGAGAAUCCCAAGCAGGCUCCACGCUAUCAGCACUGAGCCCAGUGUGGGGCUUGAACUCACAAACCGUGAGAUCAUGACCUGAGCCGAAACCCAGAGCUGACGCUUAACCGACUGAGCCACCCGGGCGCCCCCACAUGUUGUAGAGGUGGCAGGGGUCCGUGCUGGUCACCUGCGCGCAAACACUGGUGUGCUCGUCAGGAGGCCACGGAGGGUCCGCAUUUGCGAGCUCACGAGAGGUGAGCUGCAUCCUGACUGGGUGGUGGAGGCCCGGACUGAGCCACGCAGCCACCACGCUGUGGUCUCUGACUCAGGGGCCCUUCUCAUGUUAAUGACCUGACCGUGAGGAAAGUGUCCCGCGCCCCAGGGAAGGCCCCUGCCUCUGCCUUUUCCCACUGGGGACACGUCAACCAGCGUGACACCCUCGCUGCCUAGCCUGUUCCCUCUAAAGGAACUGUGGCCUAGGAGAGAACGGAACAAAUGCUCUUGGCUGCAUUAAGGCCUGGGCUUGAGUCAUUAGCAGAUGUGGCCAUCUGCUGUGCCCUCCGGGACAGACUUGUACAAACACAGGGUGAAACAGACUGGGGAUGUAUGGUGCUCAAAGGGCACAGGACAUGAAGGUGGAGAGACUGACUCAGGGCACCAGGACAGCCACAUGCUGAACACUGAGGUAGACAAGACGAGGGCCCCAGCCCUGCCGGGACGAGGGGACAGAAGCCAGCACGUGGCAGAGGGGCAAGAUGUCUAGGCAGACGUUUGGGGUCCGGAUGGAAGUUCCAAAGACGGAGGGCAGACAAAGGGCCCUGUCCCACCGGCCCCCGCCCCGCCCACUCACCAAGGCCCUCUGAUUCUGGGCUUUCUCUGACCACGGCCUCCAGCUCUUCGCCACCAUCUGGACAGGAGGUCAGUUUGGGUUUGCAGGGGUCUGCAGGGAGAGAAGAGCGCUGUCAUCAACCAGGACACGGCAGGCCAGCCGACUGCUUAGCGGGAACCUUCUGGCUGUCCUGACCAUCAGUGCUGUGUCCAGUGUACAGCUCGUGAGAGCCAAAUGCCGCUCUGGGCGACUCCGGGGACACCUGCCCCGUAGGGUUCCCAGUCCGGUGGAGGAGAGAGACCCAGACAGUCACAGUCCAGGGUGAUCAGAGCUGUGAAAGCCAGGGCCGGGGAUACAAAGGACUUGCAACAGCUCUUGAGGGAUGAGCAGCCUGCCAGGUGGAGAGGCACGCACCCCCUCAUCCACCCACGGAGCCCACAUCACCCAAGGCCUCUGUGGAAUAUGCUGGGUUCCCAGAGCCCAGGCGGUCCUGUGCCCUGCCCUCGGCAAACUACUCGAGGAAGGAAGCAGAAUCCUAAUCCCGGGGAACUGUGCUACCGUGGAGGAAAAGCGCCUUCUUGGCUUGAAAAUGGAAGGGCCACGAGCCAAGCAAUGCAGGCGCCUCUAGAAGCCAGAAAAGGGCAAAGGCAUAAGACUCUUCCCCGGAGCUUCCAGAGGGAACAAGCCCUUCCAACAGCCUGACUGCAGCCGGGUCAGACCCGUUUCAGACUUCUGACCUCCACAACCGUCGGAGAAUAAAUGCGUUGUUUUAA